rnacentral:misc_RNA from 1 species
ACUGGCACCUUGGCCUCCCAAAA